GAUGAAGAACGCAGCGAAAUGCGAUAAGUAAUGUGAAUUGCAGAAUUCAGUGAAUCAUCGAAUCUUUGAACGCACAUUGCGCCCGCCAGUAUUCUGGCGGGCAUGCCUGUUCGAGCGUCAUUACAACCCUCAGGCCCCCGGGCCUGGCGUUGGGGAUCGGCGGAGCCCCCCGUGGGCACACGCCGUCCCCCAAAUGCAGUGGCGGUCCCGCCGCAGCUUCCAUCGCGUAGUAGCAAACACCUCGCGACUGGAGAGCGGCGCGGCCACGCCGUAAAACACCCAACUCUUCUGAAGUUGACCUCGAAUCAGGUAGGAAUACCCGCUGAACUUAAGCAUAUCAAUAAGCGGAGGA
rnacentral:misc_RNA from 1 species